UACGGGGGGAGCAAGCGUUGUUCGGAUUUACUGGGCGUAAAGGGCGCGUAGGCGGCACUGCAAGUCAGUUGUGAAAUCUCCGGGCUUAACCCGGAAAGGUCAACUGAUACUGCAGGGCUAGAGUGCAGAAGGGGCAACUGGAAUUCUCGGUGUAGCGGUGAAAUGCGUAGAGAUCAGGAAGAACACCGGUGGCGAAAGCGUUCUGCUAGACCUGUACUGACACUGAGGGACGAAAGCUAGGGGAGCGAAUGGG
rnacentral:rRNA from 1 species